UUAUAUAAGAUUAUCGAUUGCUAAUACUGGGGAUUCUCAGCCUUGCCCUCUGAUAAAGUCCAUCUUUUAACGGUGUGCUAACCUUAUUCUGGGCUCCUAUUCUGGUGAGGGGAUCCUGUUACCAUCCUGAGUAUUCUUUCUCUGGUAAGGGGAUCCUGUUACUUCUCAGUGCUUUUAUUCUGUUGAGGGGACUCUGUUAUUUUAGCUGCUCUUUAUCUAGUGAUGGGACUCUGCUUUUAUCUUGAGUGUCCUUAAUUGUGGUGAGGCCAUCCUUCCUGGGGAGUUUGGGGUUGGAGAAGCGCAUCAUGAGAUUGAGUGGUCUAACCCCUGGCUUGUGUGCAGGGACAAGGGUGUACAGCCCCCCGGAGUGGAUCUCUCGACACCAGUACCAUGCACUCCCUGCCACUGUCUGGUCACUGGGCAUCCUCCUCUAUGACAUGGUGUGUGGGGACAUUCCGUUCGAGAGGGACCAGGAGAUUCUGGAAGCUGAGCUCCACUUCCCUGCCCAUGUCUCCCCAGACUGCUGUGCCCUAAUCCGCCGGUGCCUGGCCCCCAAACCUUCUUCCCGACCCUCACUGGAAGAGAUCCUGCUGGACCCCUGGAUGCAAACACCAGCCGAGGAUGCACCCCUCAACCCCUCCAAAGGAGGCCCCGCCCCUUUGGCCUGGUCCUUGCUACCCUAAGCCUGGCCUGGCCCCCA
rnacentral:sRNA from 1 species